rnacentral:rRNA from 1 species
UACGGGGGGAGCAAGCGUUGUUCGGAUUUACUGGGCGUAAAGGGCGCGUAGGCGGCCAGCACAAGUCAGUUGUGAAAUCUCCGAGCUUAACUUGGAAACUGCCAUGGAUACUAUAGAUCUUGAAUACUGUGGAGGUUAGCGGAAUAUGUCAUGUAGCGGUGAAAUGCUUAGAUAUGACAUAGAACACCAAUUGCGAAGGCAGCUGGCUACACAAAUAUUGACACUGAUGCACGAAAGCGUGGGGAUCAAACAGG